CAGAUGAGUAGACUCCCACCUUUAGCUUCAGAGGAGUAUAAAGACAACCGGUUCAAGACACUGACCUCGAAUCAGCCGUGUACAGUCCACAUGACUGGUCUGACAGUGCAUGCCUGCUGCCACGGCUGUCUGUUGUGUAUUUUCUGUUUUUUUGUGCCAAGAUAAAAUCGAAUAGGUUUAAAAGUGAAAUACAACACAGUGUUGUUUUAAUGUUUACAGUGUUUCAGUAACCACCAAAACUGGAGGAAAAAAAAGGCCAGACUCAUUUGCUUUGAAUGGUGUUGUGUGUUUAAUACAAUGAGAAGAAAAUAAACUGCUGUUUUGUA